CGGAUUUCAACAGCUCUGAGAUUGUUCUGUACUUUGGCUUCUCCUCGAACUCGAACAACUUGUCCAAGUACUUGUCAGAUGCUUCGUUUGGGUGUGGCUCUGUCGGAAUAUCGUCGUCGUCGUCGCCUUCGUCGCCGGUCCAUAAGGUUUUCUCCUCGUCGCUUCCGGACCAAACACUGUAUAGCUCGUCACUGUCGUCUGCGUCGAUUAGAUCUGAGGAGGCUUUAGCUUGUUGCCUAGCUUUCUUAACUUCUUUCUCAAGACGGUUUCUUCCUUUAUCAUUGGCUUCGUCUUCACUUGCUGACCAUAGAGUAUCAUCAUCAUCAUCAUCAUCCUUCAUAUCUUUCUCCCAGGCUUUUCUAAAGUCAGCAUCGCCUGGUUUGACAUUACCAAAGAGAUUGUAGUCUUUACGUCCUCCACUUGCGUAUGAACGAGUAGCUGCAAGACAUUGAAACAACUAAACUGUAACUAGAGCCUACAAACAGUCAAUUAACAUUACAAACACUUAAUCCUAGAUCAAAUUCGCCAGUCUUGUUAACUAAUCUAUGUCUAACUAAACCAUUGUUUGCAGUUCCCAGAUAAAUAAGAAUGUAUGCUGCAAUUGUUCUUUAGGGAUGAUUAUGCAACCGUUGAUGUUAGAUCACAUCUUUGGACUAGCUUCCUACCACAGUGUUUCAAAGUUUUAUCAUUUUCCAACAACAAUUAAAAAUCGAAACUUUAAAAGAGGCGUGAACAGGUAAGCUCUCCCUCUCUGCGGCAUUUCAACGAACACCUUGUCUACUAUUUAUAUUUAAAAGACACGCGGUACGAAUUGAGUCGAAGAAUGAUACCUUGUAAGUAGUGGCGAGAUGCCCAGUUUUGGGCAGAGUUAGCCGGACUCGAAAGGAAGCGACUUUGUGAUCUAUAAUUGAAAUAAACAAUCAUCCGUUUUAUUUCAUUUGGGUUUGAUUAAAAGGAGAUUGUUGUCGCUCUAUGGAAUUACAGUCGAACUGGAACUAACCUUUUGGUUAUGGUACAGAACAGAGGAGAGACUCUUCGCAGGAACAUCCCCUUUCUCUUUAACAGCUUUAGUCGACGGCUAAAGUAUGACCAGAGUGUCAAGCUAAAGUUCGAACUUGGCACUUUGGAGACUUUAAUAAUUGACUAAACUAACCCUAUGUAUAGAAUUUUAUCUGAACUGAGUUCCAGUUAAAUUUACCAGAAAAUAAAAAUAAGAAAAUUAUCAUUUAGUUUUACAGUUACUUUAAUUUACAGUAUAUUGUAUCUAUGCUGUUUCGUUUAUAUAAUGAUAUUGACUUAAUUUGAGAAUUAGCUAGUGUUUCAUGAUGUUUAUCUAUGUGAGCCGACUACGGUUGAUGUAUUUUAACCCUUUUUUUGAUGUCUCAAACACUAGUUUAGUGAGCUUUAGAUCAGAAUUCAGAACCGUGUUUCACCAACAUAUAUAUAUUUAAAAUCUUGCGAAACAUACACAGCAUUAGCAUUUCAAAUUUGUAGAUUAAACCUCUGCCAAUUUAUCAUAUUCAGUAACCCCUUAUAAAUAUUGUAGAGAUGAGUCCAUACACCCACCAAAUAAACUUAAGCUUGAAAUAUAUAGUAGCGUUGUGUUAUACGUAGAUAGAUAUACAGACAUAUAGUAGACUUGAUAGGAUACUGAAGAACACCACGACAACACCUACUACUAAUGUUACAUGCUCGACUAUGCCAAUUCUGCCGGGUCUUUGGCUUGCACAUCAAGGGAUAAGAGCAUUACCAAGGGGGAAAUAUCUUCCCAAGAGGUUCUUAGAAUAUUAAAUCAGUUAAUAAUUAAAUUUAAAUGACAAAAAUAAUGUGAACUAAUAAAAAUGCAACACAUGUAAGAAAAUAUCCUGCUUUUUUUGUUGAAGUUCUUAACCAACAACCCAUAGCUUCUAUCUUUCUACUUUUUUUCAAUUUUUUUCUUUUUUGGUCGAAUUUUUUUUUCUAAUAGUAAGAAACUGUGCUCAUCUCCCGUUGGGGUUGCCCUUAGGUUACAACCACUUGCACCACCACGAUGAACUGCUGGAUGGCCUUAUAUACUUAUUUUCACAGUUAAUGAUUCCAAGAAACAUGCAAACCAUGAAGAUUGCUAUUACCAACAUAGUUCCUCAUUUUCUUUGCAAAUUAGCCUUGAACAUGUAUGUUUUUUCUUACGUGUUUAUGUGAAUAUAUUAUAUGAUACUAUGGCAGCCAAUAUAUAUUGAGAGAAAUAGAACAUUAAUAUUGAUAGAAUAAAUAAUAUUCUGUUAUAAUUGAGUAACAGAAUAUUAUUUGUUUAUUCUAUCAAGGGCUGUAUAAAAUAUAUUUUGGUCUUACGUCCACUGUAUUAAUUGGUUUAUAAUAGGUAAGAUGGUGAUUGUUUGUAUUAUUAUUCUUUUUGGUUUAAGGAUUGUUUGUUUCUAACUGUGGAAUUUACACGACAUAUAUAGUUUUGUUCUAUGAACUGAAAUAGUGAUUUAUAGAAGCUAUUGCUUUAAGGACCUGUUUACGUUCUAUUAAAAAACUUGAAACAAAUUGAAAUAUUUGGUUUUGGUUUUCUAGUUAAUUUUUUUUUGUUUUGUUUUUUAAAAAAAAUUUACAGUUAAUUCGUGAAAGACCAAGUCACAUCCUAAUUCUGGUAAAUUAAUUAGUUUUAACUCGGACCAUUUGAAUUCAAUGGUUGUUCAGUGUUAUUCCUCCAAAAGUUCCUAACUAAAAGCACAUCCUCAACUUUUUUGUCACUCAGAUUCUUAUAUAAUUUGAUGAUUCUUUGUUUUCUCUACCAAAAAGGAAAAUCAUCUUUCAACACAUAGACAAAACACACUAUGGCUGAUGCUGAGCACGAACGUAUAUUCAAGAAAUUUGACACUGACGGCGAUGGUAAAAUAUCAGCAGCCGAACUUGAAGAAGCUCUUAAGAAACUUGGCUCGGUGACCCCUGAUGACGUGACUCGUAUGAUGGCUAAAAUCGAUACUGAUGGUGAUGGAAACAUAUCGUUUCAAGAAUUCACCGAGUUUGCAUCUGCCAAUCCUGGACUCAUGAAGGAUGUUGCCAAAGUUUUCUAGAAUGGUAGUAUUUGCCAUCGUCUUAUUUUUGAAUUUUUCUAAUACUUUUUUUCAAUAUGAUUUGGUUCUAAGAAACUAUCCAUAUUAUAAUUCAUGUAACUGAUCAUUGGAGUUGUAUAUCUCUCAAUGAAUACUCUCGAGUAUUUUUAAUUUUUGUUUAUUUCCCUAAUAAAUUCAGUUUUGCUACGUUUACACAUUCUUAAUAUUGCUUUCAAUAUAAUAAAAACAUUUAAAUUCUCAAUGUUGGCUUCUCCUCGAACUCGAACAACUUGUCCAAGUACUUGUCAGAUGCUUCGUUUGGGUGUGGCUCUGUCGGAAUAUCGUCGUCGUCGUCGCCUUCGUCGCCGGUCCAUAAGGUUUUCUCCUCGUCGCUUCCGGACCAGACACUGUAUAGCUCGUCACUGUCGUCUGCGUCGAUUAGAUCUGAGGAGGCUUUAGCUUGUUGCCUAGCUUUCUUAACCUCUUUCUCAAGACGGUUUCUUCCUUUAUCAUUGGCUUCGUCUUC
rnacentral:lncRNA from 1 species